rnacentral:lncRNA from 1 species
GUUUGCUUCUACUUGCAGGGGUACUACUGAUUUUUAUCUCCUCAGAAUGAGAAGGCUGGCCGUUUGAUCUCUGAGUAGGUGGCCACACGUAAGUUUCGAGAUGGGCUACACAGCCUACGGCAGUUUGCCAUCAAGCAUUUUAAUUCCCAGUCACCAUCGGAUUGAAAGUCCUAUAGGGAUCACUAGAUGCAGACGGACGUAUGGGAGGCCUUUUGCAAUUAGUGAAGCAGCAAGAAGUAUGCCAGU